rnacentral:tRNA from 1 species
AUUUCUUAAGUAUAAAUUUGUACAUUUGCCUUCCAAGCAAAAAGAUUAAUUAAAUUAAAAGAAAUA